UACAGAGGGUGCAAGCGUUGUUCGGAAUUAUUGGGCGUAAAGCGCGUGUAGGCGGCUUUGCAAGUCGGAUGUGAAAGCCCACGGCUCAACCGUGGAAGUGCAUCCGAAACUGCAUGGCUGGAGUCUCGGAGAGGAAGGUGGAAUGCUUGGUGUAGAGGUGAAAUUCGUAGAUAUCAAGCAGAACACCUGCGGCGAAGGCGGCCUUCUGGACGAUGACUGGCGCUGAGACGCGAAAGCGUGGGGAGCAAACAGG
rnacentral:rRNA from 1 species